rnacentral:lncRNA from 1 species
CGCGAGGGCGUGGGGAAAGUCGCGGGAGCAAAUUUGGGGCCGGGCUCAGCAGCAGUAGCGCCUGGCUUCUAACCUGGGCAGUGGAGGCGGGGAAGGAGCCAGAGGAAAGGGGAGGCGUAUGGGAUGGGGGUGGGUGGCGGGAGUUGGAAGCAAAUGACAUCACAGCAGGUCAGAGAAAAAGGGGUGAGCGGCAGGCGCGGGAGGAGUAGGGCGUUUGGCAUCAGGAGCGGGAGCCCAGACUGCCCUGCAGGGACCCGAGAGACCAUGCAGAAGUCGCCUCUAGAAAAGGCCAGCGUCGUCUCCAAACUUUUUUUCAGAGCAACCCUGGAAUUCAGGUGCUAAAGAGAAGCCCUUGGCCACUGAAGGAUAGCUCCUCCCUGUGGAUGGGAGAGAAGGACUUUUUGGAAUCGUCUUUAUAUUAAUAUUUAUAGAAUCUUUUGUUAAUCUAUAAAAAUGACUUAUCUGUUCAUCUGUUUUCCUACUACUUAUAAAAUAAGAAUGUUAAUUCGCAUAAAUUACAGACUUUUUGUUAGAACGCUUUGAGG